ACUGCCCCUAGAGCAUUGCAGAUAUGGCUCUUGUGUCCUGUGUGCAUUAGUAGGUGGUUGAAAGGAGACAGGACAAAUCUAUGCUCAGAGUUCUAAUCUGUGAGUCUAAUACUCCAGGAAAAAGAUUUGAGCCUGAGAUG
rnacentral:snoRNA from 1 species